ensembl:lncRNA
GCAGCACAAGUCUGCAGGAGAAAGCCCACCCAGAAGCAACAGACUUGAUCUUCUGAAAGGUAUGCAGGUGGAGCAUCCAUUUCUCAUGAGGAAGAAAUACUGAAUAAAGAACUAGAGCUCCAGCAGUGAAGAACAGCAAAACAUGCUGCCUUUACGGUCUGCAGCAAGUUAUGCCACUGUAGAAAUUAAACCAAGACACAUGUUGUUGAUUUCUGAAGUGCCAAAAGAAGGACAAGGUCAGAGCUGGUCUCUGAAUACAUCAUCCCAAUGGCAUUUCAAUGGAAAUGCAAAUUUAGGAAUUUGGGAUUAGGAACAAAAAAUUUCAGAAAAUAGACACAGACCCAGAAGAAUUAAAGGAAAGGAGUUGGGCAGAUCCCGUAUGUUGUAGACCAAUACACAGAUCAGCAAGCACACACAGAGAAAGAAGAAUAUUACCUGUCAGUGGAAGGUGAGAAAACAAACAUGGGAGGAUGAUAUUUGCCAAGAAGGUAGAUCUUGUGAUAGUCCACAGAAUCAGAACUCAGUGGCUCUGGAGGCCUUAAAUGUAAGUAGCUUUUUAAGAAGUAAUAACUUUCUCCUUCCAGAGUGAUAUUUGGGUACCUACAACUCAUCUCCCCCACUGUUAUUUUAAACUAGUGAAAUGGAGGUUAGAGCCAGCAUUGCUUAUCAGUUUAAUCAUCAGGCCAUAGAUUUCUGUUCCUUCUUCUUACUGGCUUUUAUUGUCACUUAACACUUUGUUUCUUUCUGGUAACACUACCCUUUGCUUUAAUAAUCUCUCCCUUUAUCCUGGCCUCCAGCCUGUACUUUAACAUGGUUAUUCUGGGAGGUAAAAUAUGUAAUUUCCAAUGUUCUUAACUAUAGAAAAUGCUUGCCUUGCAAGGAUGUAUGGGAUUUGAUAUACAAAUAGACUUCCCCUCUAGCAAAGCUUACUAGAUAUCCAAAAGGGCAUGAAUGUUGCUUUCCAUCAUAGAGUGCCUCAUUCCCAAAGCUCUUUGUACUUCAAUGAAAUCUGAAUUGGAAAAAGAUGAUAGGUAUAAUAUCUCCCUGGGCGAUUUACUGCACUUGCUUAAAUCAGAAGACCUUCCUAAUCUCUGUCUCUGAGAAAUGCUUGGGAAAAUAGGAUGUUCUUACAAGAGCAAGCUGUUAAUAAAGCCUUUUCCUGUUAGAUGUGCUAAGUAUCCUUGUAGCAUUUGAAGAGAUGCUGGUCCUAGAGAACAACCGGCAAGGCUGUGGCGGAGCCAGCAGCUUUAUCCACAAGGUUUAAAUCAGGGGUGCUAACAUCUGCUCUUUCAAAGACUUCACCUUUUUUGCCAUUGUCACUAAAAAACAAUGCCUUGAGUGCUGAUUAUAGCUGUCUGUGUGCUCCAUGCUAAGGCACAACUGUUUCAGGAUGUGGAAGAUCUCUUUGACCACUUCAUUAUGAAGGAAAAUACAGACAAAGGCAGAAAUACACAUUCGGUUUAGUGCUGCAAUGCUUGAAAUACUUGUUUGGUGUCAUUCCAGCUGAACAGGCUGUAUCCUGUGCCUGUGCUCCCCACCACAGUUGUUACACAGACUUUUUGUAGCCUUCCCCUUUCUUCAGCAGCUCCUUUGCAGCCUCAUGCUGGUGAGAAGCUUUGGCUCUGUUUCCCUUUCUGUCCUAACCCUACACCUUGGUUGCAAGUUGAGCCUCAUCCAAAAUGCCCAGUUCUGGCCCAAGGUUCAGACUGUGGCCCCUCAUUUAGAUGACUUCUUCCAGAUUGUGGCUUUUCUGCAUCAGAAUUUCAGUCUAAGCUAGCACUGAGCUUGUGGGCUGUUGGACAGGUCUAGGGUGGCUGGCUGCAGCACAAGCCUUUGCCACAAAUGUCCCUGUCAGCUGGAGAGAGACAGUGUCAUUCCUGGACCUAAGCCUCUCUUCAGCAGGUGUUCAGCUUGCUCUGGUUACUCCCUAGAGCCUUUGUGAGUUUGAGUAGCUGGAGCAACUCACUUGUGUAAUCCUAGCACGUUUCCUCUUGCAGGCUGACACCAAGAAAUGCCCCCCUGUUUAUCCCACUGGACAUUGAAGAAUAAUUUUGCCACUCAGCUGGUAAGUUUUAAAGACAAACUGAAGAACUGCCUUAUACACUGCUCGCAAGCUGGUGCUUCUGCAAAACUGCCUGCUUUGUUUCAGUCAGAGCAAUCCAUAGCCCUCAGUCCUAACCCAGUGACAGCUUAAUGCCUAGAGUGUCACUCCUGCAAAUGACCUCUCUCCCUUACGUUGAGUAGCUGAGAUGUCAGUGCUAAGAGCCAGUGGUACUGUAACCCUAUUACUUGGUCCUCAGAGCCACAUUUGAUUGUGUUCUUUGGCAGCAACAGGAAAUAAAUGCACUCAUUUCUCAUUUCGGUGUCACCGCCGAGGUAUAGCAGCGCAACUAAGUUACAUGCCAGAGCAAAUAAAUCCACUUGGCAGCAGCAGCUGCACUUGUUUUCUCUCACCAUGCAAAACCUCAGAUGGUGUAAGCACUCCAGAGGAGAGCAGACAUGUCCCACUCUCUUUCUGGGACAUCAGAAGGAGCAGAACGAUUCAGGUGAUACUGCAACACUGAGUGACUUCCUCGUGCCUUUUAACCCUUCCACAUCAGGAAUUUGUGCUGAGACACAAAUACAGGUCUUGAGAACUUCUACUUUCUGUCGGAUGAGUUCCUUUUGGGGCAGAAAGCGACUCCUUUAGGAAGCUCUCUAGCAGCAGGAUCCACCUCACAGUUCCUGAAGGACCGAGCAAUACGAACAUCAUCUUCGACUUGUAUGUCUCUCUGGGGGCAUCCUGGACCUUCUGCUUCCCAGCUGUGGGGGUGAGGAGAAGCAGCAGCCCCCAGAGGAGAGUGUGACACAUCCACCCUAUGGCAUUAUCACAGAAACCUCUGACACGUCACACGCUUCUAGAAAUGCAAACCACCCUGCUGUUAUUUCUAUGCCCUACGUGUUCCCGCCAUCUUUAGAGGAAACAGCGACCAGAAAGCAAACCAAGCAAUGGAAGUAAACCAAAAGCAAAGAACAACCACCGCCACGCUUAAACAAAACAAACAAAAACCCACACGAAAAGAAAAACAACAAAACCAAACCACCCCAAACAGGAAGGGCGGUGUCCUCAAGAUGUACGGUGGCAGUUUUACGGUUUGGCUGACUGCUUCCUGAGCGGCUGAGCCCUCGGGACUGCCCCGCUGUUGCUGUUUCGGCACGCUGCUGCUCCCCGUUCCGCACUGCGCGCCGGUGAAGGGCAGCCCCGCUCUCUGUCGCUUCUCACGCUGCGGCCAGUCGGUCGGCUCCGGUCAGCCGUAAGAGAACUGUGAUCUUCACAUUCAGAAGGAAUCCUAAUCCUCCACUGACCAAACAGUGUAGUGCUUGGUGCUUCACAGGUCAAGGCAGAAAUGUCAUUUUACAGCAUGUCAGGGAAAUUCACUUUCCUGUUACUCCUUUGGAAGCUUCCUUCCCUGCAGCUUGUUCGCUUGUUUGCAGCAGCACACCAGCUUAUAUAGCCAAACUGCCCAGCCAGAGCAGGGAGUCACCACUUCCUACUUCUGCAGUGGAAAUGCCAAGUCUCAACCUGAAAAAGUGAUGGGGCACCUGGUGAGAAGGCAGGGCCAACCCCAGGGAGCUCAGGUGCAUGCAGUGCACCUGAAUGACUGCAAGGGGUAGAGCCAGUAGCCACCCCUUCCCAGUCCUCAUUUAAGGGUUGGCAAUGGAUGCAAGGGUAUCUUGCUGGAAAUUCCUGCCUACGUGAGGCCUUCCAAAGGUAAGCAAAAGUUCUUCCUUCAUUUCUAUACCUACAGCUGCUGCAUUUGGGCUUGUCCUCAUUGGCUGCAGCCUAGGACUUUGCCACCUUGCCGUUAUUCCUGUGUUUUCUGUCACGUUAUAGCAUUACAGAUCCUUCGCCCUAGAUAUUGCCAGCAGCAACGCUGGCUUCAGUGAUAUUCCUCCCUGUUCAUCUGUGCCCUUGCACAAUCCAUGGGUUGCCUGAAGGCCUCUGCAGAGAAAUGACAGAAAAAUAGCACUUUUGUUGUUGUUGACUAAUUAUUAUUCAAUGGGAUUGGUUUGAGCUAAAUUAAAGUAUGGACUGGGGGCUGCUGAACAGCUCAUAGAAAAUGGUGUGGCCAUGUGUGCACUCCCAAUGCAAUCAGGGAGCUGAGCUCAACCAUUACAUUUUGCAUAGGAGCUCACCUGGAGCUCUUAAAGGAUCGUUUGGUGAUGUAGUAUCUAAUAACAACACCUUUUGCAGCUGUAGUCAUUUCUGAACUGAACCUGUGGCUAACCCUAAAACACUGCCAACUCAAAACACUGAGCAUAUUCUGAGUAAGGAAAGACUUAAGAUUUUUUUUGUCUCCUGUUCUAAGAGCAUUUCAGACUGAGGGGAAAUUAAAAAUAAAUAAAAACACCCCCCAAACCCACACUUAAAGAAAUUACAUUGGUAGAUGAAGAUCCUAAAUGUUUUUAAAUGGGUAACGCUAUGUUCUGUAAGAUGUUAUAUUUUUACCUGAAAAUGUUUUUAUAUGUUGAUGUAAAAUAGACUGAUUUUGGAUUUAUUACUCUAAUACAAGGCAUAACAAACUCAAUACCAUAGAAUCAUAGAAUGGCCUGGGUUGAAAAGGACCACAAUAAUCAUCUAAGUUUCAACCCCCCUGCUAUUCAACCCCCACCCUUUCAAAGAGUUGACUCCCCUCCUUUUUAUAGGCUCCCUUUAGGUACUGGAAGGCUGCAACAAGGUCACCCCACAGCCUUCUUUUCUCCAGGCUGAACAAGCCCAGCUCCCUCAGCCUGUCUUCACAGGGGAGGUGCUCCAGCCCCCUGAUCAUCUUUGUGGCCCUCCUCUGAACCCUCUUCAACAGCCCUCUGU